rnacentral:lncRNA from 1 species
CUUUAUCAUGAGGUUUAGCACUCUUCUUUUUUCCAUCAUCUAUAUAUCUUUCUGUGUAUAUGCUUUUGUUACAUGUAAUAUAUGUACAAAUAAUAUUUGGGGACAAGAAGGAAGAAUGAAUUGCAUAGUUGGUUAUAUUUUAUUUUAUGUUUAAGAAAUUCUAAGUUUAAUUCUUCUACAUAUAAUAUUUGAACAAUCACGCUAAGGACGAAUAGUAAAUUCUAAAUUCCCAACAUCUUCCUUACAAUAUAUGAAACAUAAAGUUGGUAUUGGAAUUAUCACGUAUUGAUAAUUAAUCUUCCCGCGAGCUGAUACUUAUUAUAGCUGAUUUUGAAGUAUCAAAAAUCAUUGGAGGCCCUGAAAGUCAGACUAGCUAAGGAAGGCUCCAAAGCUAUUUUUGCUCCUUUAGUGGACCAAUACAUUUUGAGAAAUAUAACGAUUGAGAUGCAGGUUAUUAUUGUCAAUUCUAAUUUUCUUUCUUUGAGCAGAUGUGAGCUUUUGGUGUCUACUAAAUGUGGAUGUUGUUUU